GCGACCCCAGGACGGGCGAGACCACCCGCCG
rnacentral:rRNA from 1 species